AUGCUUGCUAUCUCUCGGAGUGGUAUUGCUACAGGAAGGUAUGCAAUAAUGACAUCUCAUCAGGCUCUUGGGGUUCCUUCAAUGGUAGAAGCCUCCCCAUCAUUUGUAAACCUCGAAGGUUGUGGUUCUGAAUUUGUUGAUGGGAAUGAACCUGGCUCGAGUGCUACCGUUGUUGCUCAUGGGGAAGAUGCUGUUGCUGCUGCUCAUGGGAAUGAACCAUAUAAGGAUGCUUCUAGCUCCACUGGCAAAAGGAAGAGGGCUAGCUUGAUGAGUGAAUAA
rnacentral:rRNA from 1 species